rnacentral:rRNA from 1 species
CGGCACGGGUGAGUAACACGUAUCCAACCUGCCGUCUACUCUUGGACAGCCUUCUGAAAGGAAGAUUAAUACAAGAUGGCAUCAUGAGUCCGCAUGUUCACAUGAUUAAAGGUGUUCCGGUAGACGAUGGGGAUGCGUUCCAUUAGAUAGUAGGCGGGGUAACGGCCCACCUAGUCUUCGAUGGAUAGGGGUUCUGAGAGGAAGGUCCCCCACAUUGGAACUGAGACGCGGUCCAA